rnacentral:rRNA from 1 species
GAUGAACGCUGGCGGCGUGCCUAAUACAUGCAAGUCGAGCGAACAGAUGAGGAGCUUGCUCCUUUGACGUUAGCGGCGGACGGGUGAGUAACACGUAGGUAACCUACCUAUAAGACUGGGAUAACUUCGGGAAACCGGAGCUAAUACCGGAUAAUAUUUCGAACUGCAUGGUUCGAUAGUGAAAGAUGGCUUUGCUAUCACUUAUAGAUGGACCUGCGCCGUAUUAGCUAGUUGGUAAGGUAACGGCUUACCAAGGCAACGAUACGUAGCCGACCUGAGGGGGAUCGGCCACACUGGAACUGAGCCGCGGUCCAGACUCCUAGGGGAGGCAGAGGGAGGGAAGUUUCCGCAAUGGGCGAAAGCCUGCCGGAGCAACGCCGCGUGAGUGAUGAAGGGCUGCGGAUCGUAAAACGCUGUUAUUAGGGAAGAACAAACGUGUAAGUAACUGUGCACGUCUGGACGGUACCUAAUCAGAAAGCCACGCCUAACUACGG